AGAAAAACUAUAAAAUGCAACGCGUGACAUUUAACUUUUACUGCAAUUGAAAUUGUAAAAAGUAAAGAAUAAUCAUAAAACUUCAAAAUGCAUUUUCACCAAUAAACUAAAGAAAUUCACCACACCCAGACAUUUUUCAACAAUAAAAAUAGCCGGCUUCUAUUUUAUUAUGAUAUUAUUAUGAAUUUUAUAUUAUUAUGUGUAUGCAGGGAAUGCAGAAGGAAAUUACAAAAAAAAAAAAAAUUAAAACAAGAAACAAAAAGAAAAACAAAAGAAUAAAAAAUUCUUUUAAUGGUACUUUGCCUGCUUGGUAAAACGGUAGAAAAACUUCUCUUCAUCAUUUGAGUUCUGUAGCUCUGAGAGAAAGGUUCUAAAUAAUUUUAAAAUAUUAAGAAGAAAAUAUUUAAUUCACGGUUAUUUUAAAAUAAAAUUAUUUAUAUUAAUAAACGGUAAUUAAUAAAGUUUUAAAGAGAAAAAUUAAUAAAAACCGAAUUAAUCAUUAAAAAUUUUGAUUAUAGAUUUCUAAGAUCGUAAUUUUUCUUGGAAAAUUUCAUCAAAAUUGAUUAAGCGGUCAAAUAAAUUUGAUUUUAUAAAAAGAUUGUGUUUUAUAAUUGAAAUUAUAGACAACAAACCAGAAAAAUAAGAAAAAAAAAUUAAAAGCGAAUAAUUUUUAUAAUCAAAAAAAUUUUUUAAAAAUAACAAAAAAAAAAUCAAAAUAAAAAAAAGUGUUAGAAUUUUUUAUUAAAUUUGCUGAGCUCGUAAAAAUUUCUUAAAUAAAUUUUUUUUGUUGUUUAAUUAAAAAUAAAAUAAUUAAAAUAACAAAAAAUUGUUUUUUUUUUUUUUAUUGGAAUUUAAUUCUGUAAUUCAAAUCGGUAGGAGAAAAAAAUUAUUAUAAUAAAAAUUCACUUAAUUCGGAAAUUUGAGAAUUCAAGGCUCAUUAUUUUUAAUUAAAUUUGAAAAAUUUUCAAAUAUUGUGUGUGAGUUUAAUACAGAAAAAUUAUAAUUAACAUAUUAUAAAUUUUUGUAAAAAUCAAAAUAUUUUAAAAAUUUCUAAAAUCAAUUAAAAAAUUUUUGGAAAAAUAAAAGAAAAGAGGAACAAAAUUUCAAGAAAAAUGGAAUACAACUAUAAAAUCUAUUUAUUAUUUGGAUUAAUUCUUGUUGGAUUAAUUAAUCAAGGUAAGUCGAUGACUGCUCUGGAAAAUUAUUUAAUCAUAAAAAAAUUAAUUAGGUUGGGAGUAAGUACAUGUUUUUAUAUAACAAAAAAAACAAAAAAGGAUAAGUGGAAAAUCAUAGUGAGUGUGUGUGUGUUGGUUGUAUUCGUUCCGAAUAUGAGAUAAGAAUAAUCUCAUUGAAAAAUAAAACAUUAAAAUUAUACAAAAAGAGAAUAAAAUAAUAUUAUGUGUGUGAGUGGAAGGGAGGAAAAAUAUGAGAGACAAAAAUGUCAUGGAAAUAAAAAAAAAAAGCACGAUGUACUCCAGUUUGUUGAACGAUAAAGAUGAAGAUUUUUAAUAUUUUUUUUUUUUUUUAAAUUUUACAAUUUUUUUUUAUCUUUAUUUGAAUUUUGCUUAUUCUUCCUUUGAAUUUCUUCCUUAGAGGAUCCUAUAUGUAGACUAUUUCUUCGAAGUAUAACAACAAAUAUUUUAAAAAUGAAAAAAAAAAAAUAAAUUGUAAGAAAAAAAUAGUGUCUAUGAUAGAAAUUGAAGACAGGAAACGUUGACUUUAUUCUAUGAUUAAAGGAUAUCUUUUUUUUUUUUUCUUUACACUUUUUGGUUUUCUUUUUAAAAGAUAACAAUAUUUUAUGUUUAUUGUAGCAAAGGAUCUUAAAGUAAAUUACUUGACAUAUAUCUUAAUAAUAUCCUUAUCGUAUAUAUGUAUAUAAGAGAAUUCUUGUAAUACUCGUAUGUAUAAGGAAGGAAGAACAAAAGAGAUGUUGUUCUGCUAACAUGUUGUUUUCAUUUUCGGAACUUUAUAUAAAGGAAAAACGUAAGCAAUCAAAUAUUAUUAAAUCAGGAAAGAAAAUACUAUAUGUUCAGGCCCGUAAAUAUUUUACAACAUGGGAACGCAUACGUACAUUUGUACCACUAAUAUUCUUGAAUAUAAAAUUCCUCUAAGAAUACAUAGAAUAUAUGUGUGUUAGCUGGAAAGAGAUAGCAAAAAUGUUGUUUUUUUAGAUUGAUUGAUAUUUAUAUGUUUAUUUGUGCAGGACUAUACGUUUAUCUUAUGUUUUAUCACUGAAAUCAUGUAGAAAAGUCAUUUUUGUUUUUUUUUAAUAUGUAAUUUUAUUAAUAUUAAUGAUUGCAAUACGAUAUUAUUUAAGAAAUAUGUAUUAGACAUUACCGGGGCUAUGGUGAUUUUUAUGAUUUUCUAUAUACACAGAUUGCAAGCCAUAAUGAUAAUUAUAUAUAUUAAAAAAUAUAAUUUUGAAAAAUUGAAGAAAUUAUUUCUUUAGUGAAAUCGAAUUUCAAAAUUUUCAUUAAAAUUUUAAAGAUUUUCAAUAAAUUUUCUUAAUAAUUCAAAAUCAUCACUCUCAUUUAAAAGAAAUGUACAAUCAUCUAUUCUGGCGGCAACAAUACUUUAUAGCUACUUGUAUGUCUGCAAACCAAAAAUUUUUUUCGUUGUCCUUCACGUGUGUGUCCGGCUGGGGCCCCUCUCUUACUACUACUACUAUUAUCUAUGACAUUUUCGGUUUUUUGUACAUGACUGCCCUUCAUUUAUUAGAAAAAAUAUUCAAUGACAACCGCGUUAAAUGCUCGUAUACUUUUCUAAAUAAUGAAUGUAAGAGUAUAACAGUUUUUUUUCAUAUUUUUUACAUGUUUUGCAUUUCCUACGAAAAUGUUCUGGAGUUCAAACUGGGUUGUCGUGGCAUUUGACGUAUAAACGAUCACUUAUUAGGAAAAUUUAGGUAAAAAUUCAUUUGUGAGAAUAUAAAACACUAUAUCGUUCUCAUAAUGGGAAACUCAUGAAUUUGGAGAAGAAAAUUGUAGCUUAUCUGUUCUAUUACAAAAAAACUGGAAAACUUAUCAAAAUUGCUAUAAUAUUAGGUAGUUUUAGAUAAUUUUGCUGAUUCCUGAAUUGGUCAGUAUUGGAUAUAAAUGUUCUGGAAGGUAUUUUAUUUUGAAACACACGAGGGAUUUUAAAUGUCAUUGCGAUGCAUUUGUGAUGUAAAAUUAUCCCAUUUUAAUUGAACAACACAUUUUCAGUUCAAAAACACUGAAAACUGAGAACUUAAUUGACAUUUUAUUUGAAUUCUAAAUUAAAAUUCUAAUUAAUAUAUUAUUUAUUUUUCAACCUUGAGUUGUUAUUCAACUCAAUUUGAAUCAAUUUAAUUUAAAUAAAAAAUAUACUUAACUACGUACUCAUUAUGUCUACACACACACAUCCAUAUAUAACAAAUAUUUUUUUAAACGGAACAAAACUCUUCAAUCUUCACCAGUAUUUUCUAAGUUCUAAUUUAUGUAUUUUUUUUUUACAAUCAUAAUAUUAUUUUACUACUCUCUUGCUUACUUCGCCUCCUCGUCAUCAAGAAGUUUUUCAAGUAAAACACAAAAUACAAUUUUUUUUGCAUCUUUUGUCGCAAUUAUUUUUUUUUACUUUAAAAAGAAUAAUUAAAAACAAAAAAAUGAAAUACUUUAAAUGGAUGAAAAAUACUGAACAGAUUUUCCCCUUAAAAAAAAAUUUUAUGUUUCGUUAUUUCAUUUUUUAUAAUUUCGCGACCAAACAAAUUAUUUUUCGCGCCAAAUCAAGUCAUAAAAAUGUUCGCCGCUAGCGAAAACAUACAUUAUUUUUGCCAUUUUCUAAUUUUUAUAUUUUUUUGAUUUUCUUAUUAUAAUUUUUGUUGUCUGUACUUUAUAUUUGUACGUUAUUCCUGAAGUGCUCCAGCCAGACGCUCUAUAUACAUAUAAUACAAAAUACUAACUACUACUACUACUACUACUAC